UCAUGACCUCAGAGCGUUCUCUUUGGGUCUCCUCUGCAGGAAGCCCAGCAUGGCUCCAGGACAGGCACGUGGAAUAUGGAAACCUGGAAGGGGAGCAUCCCAGGAAGGUGAAAUGGCACCGCUGAUGUCAGAGUUGGGAAGGCUGUCAUGGACCAGAGCAAGCAGGGGAGAAGAUGCCAGGUGUGUGCAGGUGAUACCUGAGAGGCACCGAGUAUGACUGCAUCAUGGCAAAUGGUGUCAGCAUGUGGUCUGUACCCAAUGUUUGUAUCCCCCAACUUCAGAUGUCAAAAUCCUAAUGCCCAAGGUGAUGGUAUUUGGAGGUGGGGCCACUGGGAAAUGAUUAGAUCAAGAGGGAGGAGUCCUCAUGAAUGAGAUUAGUGCCCUUAUAAAAGGGACCCCAGGGGACUUAGUCACAUCUUGCUGUGUGGGGACACAGCAAGAAGGCACCAGCUAUGAACCAGGGAGCAGGUCCUCAACAGACACCAAACUGCUGAUGUCUUUGUCUUGGACUUUCCAAUCUCCAGAACAGUGAAAAAUAAAUGUUUGUUGUCUAAGCCUCCCAGUCUAUGAUAGUUUUGUUAGGGCAGCCUGCACUGAGACAGCAUAUGCUAUUUCCUCUCCUCUCCUCUCCUUGCAGGGAUCUUUGGAAUGAGGGAGGGGGACCAAAUCGUCACUCUGCCCUUCAACAUCAACCAAAAAGAGAGCACAGAUGAGAGGAAAAACAGUUUUGUCAACAGGUCCUCCCGGUCAUGGGGAUGGAAAGUCACAUAACUUCCUAGACUGUUUGCACACUGUUGAAAUGAGGAUGGCUCCAGGAUUCAGGGAACAUGCGACCGCAGAUUCACAGAUCACCCGGUGUCAGCCGUGUGUAAAGCAGAAGGACCAGUCCAGCAGUCACUCACUCCUCAGGGAAGAUGGCUUCCUGUGUGUGAACUUCCACUUUGACCCAAGGCUUCCCCAGCUGGCCUGGAGUCCCCACAGACCUGGGAGAUUGAUGCAUGGUUCCAUGUGGCCAUAGAACCUCCUUCCUGGAUGCAGGAUUUCUAGGUGUGAAUCUGGGAGAGCUGUUCCUGGAGCCCCUGGCCCAUGAGGCUCAGAUCCUUGAUGCACAGCCUGCUUCUAAGCCUCAUGGACUUUGACUCACUGUGAUUCCCCCACGGUGACCUCAUCAGCUUAUCUCAGGCUCAAAAACAUGCCAGCACUGCUCUUAACUUUAUAAGUGUUGGCAAGGUGUCAGACACUUGGUUUUCACAAAUGUCUUUGUCCCCUUAAAUUCCAGGGGAGGUGCCAAAAAGUGGCAUCCUAUCCACAGCCCAGGACUUGGAGGAAGUUACUUCUCACACUUGCCAACUCAGGUGUUUGAAGAACUGAGGUAGUGUUCUAAGCUGUUUGUGUGUAUUCUCUCAAUCCUCACAGAAUCCCAAUCAGGUAGGGGCUAUCAUCUCCACAUUUUGUUAAUGUGGAAACUAAGGAACAGAGAGGUUGAGUAAAUUAUCCCAAACUACACAGCUAAUUGAGGGAGUUUGAGGCUGUCCCAAAUGACAAUGAUGGCUCCCAAUUGCUUCAACUUGGUAUUCAAGACUAUGUCUACCAUACAGACUUUUUCUCUUUCUUUCCCUGACAACUUCCUCCUAGUUACUGAGUUAGAAUUUCAAGAGAAAAAUAAAUAAGAUAGAGGAUUUGAUCA
rnacentral:lncRNA from 13 species